CAAUAGCGUAUAUUAAAGUUGUUGCGGUUAAAAAGCUCGUAGUUGGAUUUCUGCUGAGGACGACCGGUCCGCCCUGCUGGUGGCAGUAUCUGGCUACGGCCUGGGCAUCUUCUUGGAGAACGUAUCUGCAUUCACGGUGUGGUUGCGGGAUAUCCAGGACUUUUUACUUUUGAGGAAAUUAGAGUGUUUCAAGCAGGCACACGCCUUGAAUACAUUAGCAUGGAAUAAUAAGAUAGGACCUCGGUUCUAUUUUGUUGGUUCUAGAGCUGAGGUAAUGAUUAAUAGGGAUAGUUGGGGGCAUUCGUAUUUAACUGUCAGAGGUGAAAAUUCUUGGAUUUGUUAAAAGACGGACUACUGCGAAAGCAUUUGCCAAGGAU
rnacentral:rRNA from 1 species